rnacentral:rRNA from 1 species
UACGUAGGGUGCAAGCGUUGUCCGGAAUUAUUGGGCGUAAAGAGCUUGUAGGCGGUUUGUCGCGUCUGCAGUGAAAUCUACAAGGCUCAACCUUGAGCUUGCAGUGGGUACGGGCAGACUAGAGUGUGGUAGGGGAGACUGGAAGUUCCUGGUGUAGCGGUGAAAUGCGCAGAUAUCAGGAGGAACACCGAUGGCGAAGGCAGGUCUCUGGGCCACUACUGACGCUGAGAAGCGAAAGCAUGGGGAGCGAAACAGG